ACUCCUACGGGAGGCUGCAGUCGAGAAUAUUCGACAAUGGGCGAAAGCCUGAUCGAGCGACACCGCGUGUAGGAUGAAGGCCUUCGGGUCGUAAACUACGGUAGUAUGGUAGGAAUGCAAAUGACCGCCAUACGGAAAGAGGUGGGUAACUACGUGCCAGCACCAGCGGUAAUACGUAGACCUCAAGCGUUAUCCGGAUUUAUUGGGCGUAAAGCGCACGUAGGAGGUUUCGCGCGUCUUCUGUUAAAGCCCAGGGCCUAACCCUGGAAGUGCAGGAGAUACGGCGGAACUAGAGGAGGUUAGAGGUGCAUGGAACUCACGGUGUAGGGGUGAAAUCCGUUGAUAUCGUGGGGAACACCAAAGGCGAAGGCAGUGCACUGGGACCUUCCUGACUCUGAGUUGCGAAAGCGUGGGGAGCAAAAAGGAUUAGAUACCCUUGUAGUCCACGCCCUAAACGAUGCCUGUUUGCAGUUUCGAGUAUCGACCCUCGGAGUG
rnacentral:rRNA from 1 species